rnacentral:lncRNA from 1 species
AUUUUCUGCUCAGACACCAUUGCUUGCAAAAUUCCACCCAGAAGAUAAGGGAGGAGGAAGUAUCGCUGCAGCAUCAUGCUCUGUGCCUGGUUAUAUUACUGGAUCCUUGUGUUGCAGCCCUAAGUUAGAAGAAUUGUCUCCAUUUCAAAGAUGAGAGAGAACUGAUGCACAGGAGGCUUAAAUUGUCUGAAGUCACACAGCAGCCUCCUCUUAAACCUGACAAAGAAUUCAAGGGCUUGUGCUGGGGCUGUCAGCUGCUCUUCUGGUGCCCUGGGGACGAAGAAGAGAUCUGGAGGGAAGACUGUCACCCUCUUGUGAAUGUUUCCAAGAGGCAGCUCAGCAUGAGAGAGAAAAGGGGAGAUCCCAGUUCCAGGAACACCUGGCCAGUGAUUCACCUGUUUAUCGGAGUUGACAGGACCAGCCCAGCCCUUUCCCCUCUCUCCCCAUCAUGAUGGAUGGGAACCUGGCCUUUGAGAUUCCUGCGAAGGAGUGACAAAGAACAUCAAGGCUCAAUCCUUGGAACUCUGCAUCACUCAUCUUUAAAUGAGACUUCUCUGCUGACUCUCAGAGUUAUGUAUGCUGAGAAUCCCCUGCCUCUAAGACAUCCUGCUUGGCAGGUUCCUAUCUCCCUUCAACUGAGGCAUCAUUUCCAAAUCAGACACUUCUCGUCACCACUAUUGCCCUCCCCUUGUCCAACCCACAUUUGGCUCUUGGCUGGAGUUCUAUGAGUCUCCUAGCCGGCUCUCCCUGUUCUUAUCAUUUUCCAGUAAGUUCCCACCCUGCCUUCAGACUCUUCUCCACACGGCUUCCAGAGUAAUCCUUUCAAAAAGUAAGUCAGAUCCCAUCUUUUCCCUCCGGUCUCCCUCUGUCAGCCACAUUCAUUCCAAAGGACCGUGUGGUCCAUGUCCUUGUUCUCUCUGGUUCUCUCACUGCUCUCCUCUGUGCUCACUCUCUCCUGCCUCACGACGUUUGCACUUACUGUUUUUUCUGCUUGGAACUCUUUCCCUCCAAGAUCUUUUUUUUUUGAGACGGAGUCUCGCUCUGUCACCCAGGCUGGAGUGCAGUGGUGCAAUCUCUGCUCACUGCAAGCUCUGCCUCCCAGGUUCACAUCAUUCUCCUGCCUCAGCCUCCCGAGUAGCUGGGACUACAGGCACCAGCCACCAUACCCAGCUCAUUUUUUUGUAUUUUUAGUAGAGACGGGGUUUCACCAUGGUAGCCAGGAUGGUCUUGAUCUCCUGACCUCAUGAUCCACCUGCCUCGGCCUCCCAAAGUGCUGGGAUUACAGGCAUGAGCCACCGCACCCGGCCUCCCUCCAAGAUCUUUACUCACAUGUCACCUUAGUGAUGGCUGCCUCCCUGACCAUCCUAUUUAAAAUUGCAACCCAUUCAACACCCACUCCUCCUUCUCUAUCCUUGCUCUGCUUCCUCCAUUUGACCUGUCACUCUUUAAUCCAGUGGCAUUCCGAUUCAGUGGUGACCAGAAGCAGGACCUAAGGAGGUGCGUCAUCUGUAGAGAAUUUAAAAAUAAUCGUGAAAUAAACUCAAAGUGGGUUUGCUCUUUAUGAGCCCCGCACACCAGCAAUUCUAAAUUCCGUUAUCAGUACACUUUCCUGCCAGGGUGGGCCGCUCCCACCGAUUCUCCUCUAUCUUAAUACACUAUGUGUUUCCCUUGUUUAUUUUGCUUAUUGUUCAUUUCCAUGCACCAGAAUGUAAGCUCCGCGAGGGCAGGAUAUUUUGACUGUUUUGUUCACCACUGUGUCCCUCGUAUCUUGCCACACGGUGUGUGCUCAGUAAGCUUUAGUUGAAUGAAUGAAGUGGAGGAUGUCGACGUUCCCUUAGUUGGGGGUUAUCAGGAGGGAUUCCUGGAUGAAUUGGUAUCUAUACUGCCUGUCCUUAAAGAGGAGGAAGGUGCUCUAGGCAGAAGGAACAGCAGGUACAAAAGCAACUUGAGCUAAGGGUCAUUAGCUAAGAGUAGGAGUCAGAGGGAUGAGUGGGUGUCGUUCACCAGAAUUUACCCUUCAAAAUGUCAGUGCUUAGUAAAUGAAUGUGUUCCUUUAUUACUAGUUGGUGGAGGGUCCUUGUUGACAUCUUGCAGAGGUCUGGCUGUCACUUUUAAUCAGAAUGGCUAUUCCCCACUCCUGCUGAAGAGCUCCAGGCCUGGCGGGGGCGGGAUGGCGGGUUGUGGUGGUGGUAAGGGCUGUCCCCCAGCACACUGUUAGAACUUUACUUAUCCUCUUGCUUGAAAUGUGGGAGCUGGAGACCAUUCAGGAGGCUGUGGUUACAGUCCCAGACAGGGUCCCUAAGAGCAAGGAGCCAUUCCCAAUGCCUCCUCCUUAGGGAAGCCUUCCCUACUUUCUCUUCCCUCUUCUGAGCAGAGUUUGUACCUUCCUCCUUUUUGCUCUCUGUUUAUUUCUUUAAUUUAACACUUACAAUAUAAUACCAUCUUUAUUUGUUCCGUGUUUGUAUCUUCUACUGAAUGUGGCUUCAAGAACAGAAAGCACAGAACGUGGCACGUUGGAGGAAAUUAGUAAGUGUUUGCUAAAGGCACAACAAUGAAACAGAACCGAUAUCAUAUACAGUGCUAUGCCAUGCCGAAAGAGUAUGAUAGUUAUUGUGGUGAUGCUUUUGAAUAAUAAUCAGAAUAAUGAGGGUGACUAGUCCAUAGUUAUAUAGAAUAUAGGAUAUACAGAAUAUACCUUUUUCUGCAAGGGGGUGUGUCACUUAACUUUGUUCCUUGAAGCUCCAGAGGCCCAAGGUCACCCACAAUGAUUCAAGUAUUAUCAAUGUUGAGAGCCUGUAAAAGCAUCAAAUAUAUUAUAGCUUCCAAAAAAUUGUGAAUUAGACUGAAAACCAGCAUUAAAAAAAUAAAGUGAUGUUGACUUAAA